rnacentral:rRNA from 1 species
GGAUGAACGCUAGCGGCAGGCUUAACACAUGCAAGUCGAGGGGUAACGGGGAAGCUUGCUUCCGCCGACGACCGGCGCACGGGUGCGUAACGCGUAUACAAUCUACCUUAUACUGGGGUAUAGCCUUUAGAAAUGAAGAUUAACCCCCCAUAGUCUCUUAGAGUGGCAUCACUUCUAGAGUAAAGGUUACGGUAUAAGAUGAGUAUGCGUUCUAUUAGUUUGUUGGUGUGGUAACGGCACACCAAGACUACGAUAGAUAGGGGCCCUGAGAGGGGGAUCCCCCACACUGGUACUGAGACACGGACCAGACUCCUACGGGAGGCAGCAGUGAGGAAUAUUGGACAAUGGAGGCAACUCUGAUCCAGCCAUGCCGCGUGCAGGAAGACUGCCCUAUGGGUUGUAAACUGCUUUUAUACAGGAAGAAACACCUCUACGUGUAGAGGCUUGACGGUACUGUAAGAAUAAGGAUCGGCUAACUCCGUGCCAGCAGCCGCGGUAAUACGGAGGAUCCAAGCGUUAUCCGGAAUCAUUGGGUUUAAAGGGUCCGUAUGUGGAUAAUUAAGUCAGAGGUGAAAUCUUGCAGCUCAACUGUAAAAUUGCCUUUGAAACUGGUUAUCUUGAGUUAUUAUGAAGUAGUUAGAAUAUGUAGUGUAGCGGUGAAAUGCAUAGAUAUUACAUAGAAUACCAAUUGCGAAGGCAGAUUACUAAUAAUCAACUGACACUGAUGGACGAAAGCGUGGGUAGCGAACAGGAUUAGAUACCUGGUAGUCCACGCCGUAAACGAUGGUUACUAGCUGUUUGGACUUCGGUCUGAGUGGCUAAGCGAAAGUGAUAAGUAACCCACCUGGGGAGUACGUUCGCAAGAAUGAAACUCAAAGGAAUUGACGGGGGCCCGCACAAGCGGUGGAGCAUGUGGUUUAAUUCGUUGAUACGCGAGGAACCUUACCAGGGCUUAAAUGUAAGUUGCAUUAGUUAGAGAUAGCUAUUUCUUCGGACCACUUACAAGGUGCUGCAUGGUUGUCGUCAGCUCGUGCCGUGAGGUGUCAGGUUAAGUCCUAUAACGAGCGCAACCCCUGUUGUUAGUUGCCAGCGAGUCAUGUCGGGAACUCUAGCAAGACUGCCAGUGCAAACUGUGAGGAAGGUGGGGAUGACGUCAAAUCAUCACGGCCCUUACGUCCUGGGCUACACACGUGCUACAAUGGUAGGUACAGAGAGCAGCCACUGCGCGAGCAGGAGCGAAUCUAUAAAACCUAUCACAGUUCGGAUCGGAGUCUGCAACUCGACUCCGUGAAGCUGGAAUCGCUAGUAAUCGGAUAUCAGCCAUGAUCCGGUGAAUACGUUCCCGGGCCUUGCACACACCG